rnacentral:rRNA from 1 species
UACAGAGGUCCCGAGCGUUGUUCGGAUUCACUGGGCGUAAAGCGUGCGUAGACGGUUGCGUAAGUCAGAUGUGAAAGCCCCGGGCUCAACCUGGGGAAUUGCAUUUGAGACUGCGUAGCUAGGGUGCGGAAGAGGGAAGCGGAAUUUCCGGUGUAGCGGUGAAAUGCGUAGAUAUCGGAAGGAACACCAGUGGCGAAAGCGGCUUCCUGGUCCAGCACCGACGUUCAGGCACGAAAGCGUGGGGAGCAAACAGG